UCGGCAUGGGUGGGCAACUGGCUGUCGCGGCUGGUGUCUGCGAUGCGCAGGCGCGAUUGCGGCGUGCCGAUCCCCUCGGCCAGACCGGC
rnacentral:tRNA from 1 species